rnacentral:rRNA from 1 species
UACGGAAGGCAGCAGGGGGGAAUAUUGCACAAUGGGCGCAAGCCUGAUGCAGCCAUGCCGCGUGUAUGAAAAAGGCCUUCGGGUUGUAAAGUACUUUCAGUCGUGAGGAAGGUGUUAAGGUUAAUAACCUUAGCAAUUGACGUUAGCGACAGAAGAAGCACCGGCUAACUCCGUGCCAGCAGCCGCGGUAAUACGGAGGGUGCGAGCGUUAAUCGGAAUUACUGGGCGUAAAGGGCACGCAGGCGGUUAAUUAAGUUGGAUGUGAAAUCCCCGGGCUUAACCUGGGAAUGGCAUUCAAGACUGGUUAGCUAGAGUCUUGUAGAGGGGGUAGAAUUCCAUGUGUAGCGGUGAAAUGCGUAGAGAUGUGGAGGAAUACCGGUGGCGAAGGCGGCCCCUGGACAAAGACUGACGCUCAUGUGCGAAAGCGUGGGGAGCGAAACAGGGAUUUAGAUACC